rnacentral:rRNA from 1 species
AUUGAACGCUGGCGGCAUGCCCUACACAUGCAAGUCGAACGGUAACGGGCCUUCGGGUGCCGACGAGUGGCGAACGGGUGAGUAAUACAUCGGAACGUGCCCGACCGUGGGGGAUAACGAGGCGAAAGCUUUGCUAAUACCGCAUACGAUCUACGGAUGAAAGCAGGGGACCGCAAGGCCUUGCGCGGACGGAGCGGCCGAUGGCAGAUUAGGUAGUUGGUGGGAUAAAAGCUUACCAAGCCGACGAUCUGUAGCUGGUCUGAGAGGAUGAUCAGCCACACUGGGACUGAGACACGGCCCAGACUCCUACGGGAGGCAGCAGUGGGGAAUUUUGGACAAUGGGCGCAAGCCUGAUCCAGCCAUGCCGCGUGCAGGAUGAAGGCCUUCGGGUUGUAAACUGCUUUUGUACGGAACGAAAAGCCUUCUUUUAAUACAGGAGGGUCAUGACGGUACCGUAAGAAUAAGCACCGGCUAACUACGUG